GGAAAGAUGCUCGAGUGGUUGAAGAGGCACGCCUGGAAAGCGUGUAAACUCCAAAAGGGUUUCCGGGGUUCGAAUCCCCGUCUUUCCG
rnacentral:tRNA from 1 species